GACGAACGCUGGCGGCGUGCCUAACACAUGCAAGUCGAACGGGGCCAGGGGCAACUCUGGUUCAGUGGCGGACGGGUGCGUAACACGUGAGGAACAUGACCCUUCGGCGGGGAGGUAGCCGGCCCGAACCGGACCGGGUAACGUACCGCCGUACGACCACCAUGGGACGAUCCCUCGAGUGGUGGAAAGACAGCAAUAGCGCCGA
rnacentral:rRNA from 1 species